GGACCGUGAAAUUGGGGUAAACCCUCUAAUUUGGCAUUAAAAUUAAAAAGAUCAUAUCAUAGGGAACAUGUAUACUAAGUUUGAAGUCGAUUGGACUUCAACUUCAUCAAAAACUACCUUGACCAAAAACUUUAACCUGAAGCGGGACAGACGACGAACGAACGAACGGACGGACGAACGAACGAACGGACGGACGAACGGACGGACGGACGAACGGACGCACAGACCAGAAAACAUAAUGCCCCUCUACUAUCG
rnacentral:lncRNA from 1 species